GACGAACGCUGGCGGCGUGCUUAACACAUGCAAGUCGAACGGAAAGGCCCUGCUUGGGUGGGGCGCUCGAGUGGCGAACGGGUGAGUAACACGUGAGUAACCUUCCCUUGACUUUGGGAUAACUUCAGGUAACUGGGGCUCAUACCGGAUAGGAGCUCCUGCUGCAUGGUGGGGGUUGGAAAGUUUCGGCGGUUGGGGAUGGACUCGCGGCUUAUCAGCUUGUUGGUGGGGUAGUGGCUUACCCAGGCUUUGACGGGUAGCCGGCCUGAGAGGGUGACCGGCCACAUUGGGACUGAGAUACGGCCCGGCCUCAUACGGGCGGCAGCCGUGGGGAAUGUUGAACGAUGGGCGGGAGCCUGCUGCAGCCACCCCGCCUGCGUGAUGACGGCCUUCGGGUUGUAAACCGCUUUCGCCUGUGCCGAAGCGUGAGUGACGGUAAUGGGUAAAGAAGCACCGGCUAACUACGUG
rnacentral:rRNA from 1 species